UUUCUUUCUUUCUUUCUUUCUUUCUUUCUUUCUUUCUUUUUUCUUUCUUUCUUUCUUCUUUCUUUCUUUCUUUCUUUUCUUUCUUUCUUUCUUUCUUUCUUCUUUCUUCUUUCUUUCUUUCUUUCUUUUUUUUUUCUUUUUUCUUCUUUCUUUCUUUCUUUUCUUUCUUUCUUCUUUCUUUCCAUUUCAACUCCUAUUAUUUCUUUCUUUAUUUCCAUGGAAUUACCACCAUGUCUCAUUUAUCAAUCAUGAUUUCCAUGCCCUAGGAUUUUGCUUAGAACUAUGGCAGAUGUCCCCCACUGGGCCUUGGCAAAUGCUAAUGCAGUUUCACCUAUGAUCAUCUUUUUAUCUUUCUAUCACUCAUAUCUUGCUUUCUAUCACUCAUUCUCUCCCUCUGUUUCUCAAAUAAACAAAUAAAAUAUUUAAUUUUUUUUUCAUUAGAGCGGGUGAGUGUAUUAAUCUGCUAGCGCUGUCAUAACAAAAUACCAUAGACUAUGUGACUUAAGCAAUAGAAAUUAUUUACUCCACAGUAGUGAAGAUUAUACUUCAAGAUCAAGUUACUUUCUGGAUUUGCUUUUGGUGAGGACUUUUCCUGGCUUGCAGAUGACUGCCUUCUCACUAAUUCCUCAUGUGUUUUUUCUUCUGUGCAGGUAAGGAGAGAAAGAGACCUCUCUAGUGUCUCUACUUAUAUGGAAAUUAAUCCUAUUAAGACUUCACCCUUAUGAUGUCAUUUGACCUUAAUUCACACUUCAAGGUCCUUUGUUUAAAUAUAGUCGCUUUGCAAAAAUAAUAAAUAAAUAAAUAAAUAAAUAAAUAAAUAGUCACCUUGGGGAUUGAGGCUUUAACCCUGUAGGGAGGAAACAAUUCAGGCCAUAGCCAGGAGGCAGAAGUUUACUUAGGAGAAGAUACCAGAAAGCAAACGUGAGGGAGUUUAGAGAGUAAAACAGGAAAAGAAAAAGAGAAAAAGAGCUCCACCAAAACUGAUGUGUAUUUAUUAGCGUUAGUGUUAUAACCAAUAGAGGUGAUUCUUCUAGAAGUCUUGAUAUAAUACUGAAAUCCUUAAAAAAAUAAAAUCUGUGUAAAGCAGAGAUCAUCAAACUGCAAUCUACAGGUAAUGUUGCCAUAAAAUACAAGAUACACAAUUAACUUUGAAUUUCAUAUUAAAAAAUAUCUGUUUAGGAUAUACUUAUGCUAAAAAAAUUAAAUGCAUUUAUCUGAAAUUGAAUUUAAGUAAAUGUCUUGAAUUUUUAUAUAAAUAUGGCAACCCUACCCACUGGUCAAAUUUAGCCAGUGGCCUGUUUUUGUAGAUAAAGUUUUAUUGGAAUAAAGCCACAUCCAUUCAUUUGUGUAUUGUUUAUGGCAGCCUUGACUAUGGUAUAAUUGAGUAGUCACAACAAAGACUGCAUACCAGCAAAGGCUAUAAUAUCUCCUAAUGGAAAUAUCUGUUAAGGUCUAUCGAUGGCAGGAGGCUGUAGACAUAGGGUUUAAAGACCAAGGCCCAGCUCCCAUCAGUCUGGGCUGGUUCCAUGAGAUUUAAUCCCCACUGGGUGCCUGCAGGCGAACUGAGAAGUGCUCAAUGUUGGAAAAGCAAAAGCAGAGAAAUAAACAGCUUGUCUGGGCUCUCACAGACUGUCUUCCACAGCUGGGAUGAAAUCAGAAGCGGAGUGCACAAAAGGCAUGGGCUGCCACAGACAGCAAACCAAGAAGCCUGGUACUUGUCACUGAUAACAGUGCUGACUGCUGACAGGGACAACUCAAUUAUUUCCUUAAGCAAUUGUGGGAGGUUCUGUAUUCAUUAAGUUUGGGUACAACACUAACUGAUACAUGUAUGAGCAUUCUUUAAAAACUGCAAAAUGUGAGAACUCCUGUCCUAAGUGGAAAAUUAGUGAAAGUAGGCUUAUCAAUAGUCUGUAGUAUGGUUUCUCCAUGUUUAAAUUCCCCAUUGAGGCUCUUGACUCUGACUGUGUCUUUUAUGGGUUUUGACAGCCUCUGCUGCUCUAUCGUAAUGUGAUUUUCUAUAAGACAUCAGAAUCUGUGAUUUCAGAAACUUGUGUAUGCCUAAUAAUUGCAUCUGCUUAGCAAUUCUCAUUACAUUUGAUAUUAAUGGUGUGUUUGCACAAUUAAAUCCCUGCCUACUUAAGUUGUGUUAGACAUUUGAGUCUUCUGGAAUGAAAGGCAGGUAAAACUCAAGGGGUGGAUUUUUUUUCCCCUGACUUCUCACAGUGUAUCAUAGGUACACAUCUUCUAGGAAUAUAGGAUAUUCCAUGUCCAGGAGCAAGGAGGGCCCCUGAUAUCAACAGGGAUAGCUGAUCUCUCAAAAGCUGGACCCAGCAAUUACAGAGGAUCUUUCCCUUUCUUAAUAAGAUGUCCUUAUGUCAGUUAUACUCUCCUCCUUCUGACCAUGUGCAUACAUGGAGGGAUGCAAACAUCACUGCAGAUCAUAUUAUCUCACACCUGCAAAAUCCUCAGGUUGUUGAAAAGCCCAAAGUCUCCUACUCUACUCCAAAAGUAGACCAGAGUUGUUUUAAUGGUGAGUUUCUCUGAGUAGUGUAUUGGAUAGAAGAAAAAUCAAAAACAUUUGUACAGACUAUUCACAAAUAAAUUAACAAGGUACCUGCUACAUAGUAGGUUUUCAACAAAGAUCAAAAUAUAUAAAAUAUUUUUAGCUUUAAUAAUGUUAUAAAAGUAAACUACCAAAUCACACUUUUUGUUGUUGUUUUAUUUAAGUGUAAUUCUUGGCUUUUUUUCCCCCUUCAUAGCCACUUACAAUAUAAAUCUAGAUUAUUAUAGAGUAUCAUCUUUAUAACAGUGAUGACAUUUUUUUCCUAUGAUUGUUUUUUGACAUCAAAUCAAUCCAAAUUCCUUAUGAAAUUACUGCCAAGGAUGGCAAAUGUAUGUUACUCUCAGUAUAAAAUUCUUUGACCUGUCCUCUGAAAUAACAGACUAUAACCUGUCUUGUAUUUUGUAACAUUUCUUCAUUCUCCCAAAGGCAGCUUGACUUUACUCAGCAUAUCAAGUCAAAUAAAUAACAGUGCCCAAAUAUUAAAAUAAAAUGCUCUGUUUUGUGUCAAUACCUUUUUAAAAAAGUUCUGUCCAGUUGGUACAUGAUAUUGGUCCAAGCACUUAAAGACAGAAAACUCUGCAAGGCAGGGCUUUUGUGAAUGCAUGGAAGAAUAUAGCCUCUGAAUCUGGAAUCUCAUAUAAUGCAAAUAUUUAGUAUACUGCCUUAUGCACUUUGGAUGUGAUCAAUGAUAUGGACAGUGACUCAUCAUUUAACGUAUGGUUUUAGGAACAUCCAAGGCAAAGAAAAAGUAAUUAGCACUUAUCAAGGAAAAUUAUUUGUGAAAUGCUAAAAUUAAAUAAACAUAUCUUCAUUUUAUUCUUAUACUUCCUUAGUGAUUUUCUCUUUCUAAAAUCAUGAUUCUUAAUUUAAGCUACUUUAGACCUUAAAAUAAGCUUUUAGGUGACUUACUCUUAAAUCUCAAAUAAAAUGAAGGUAGAGUUAUUAAAAAUAAGCUAAUAACAAUGAGGUAUUUAAAAAUAAAUGAAAUUUCAGGGUGCCUGCAUGGUGCAGUUGGUUAAGAAUCUGACUCUGGGUUUCAGCUCAGGUGGUGAUCUCAGGGUCGUGAGAUCAAGCCCCAUGUUGGGCUCCCUGCUCAGUGUGGAGUCUGCUUGAAUUUCUAUCAUCCACCCUCCCUUCCACUCUCUCUCCCUCCCUCUCUCUCUCUCUCUCUCUCUCUCUUUCAAAUAAAUAAAUACAUCUUUAAAAAUAAUAAAUACAAAUUGCAUUUAAAAACUGACCUUUAAAUAACAUCCAUGGGUACAAAUUGAUUUCUGUACCCAUUUAUCUAUCUAUUUACCUACCUAUGUAUCUAUCCACCUGUUUAUGUUGUUGAUAUUCUGUAUAGAAUUCUAAUGUAACAUGGAGGGAGGAGCCCAGGUAUUCCUUCUCCAGUUUGACCAAGUUACUCCUUUUCUUGGCAAAUUAUAACAGUCUUGAGGGAUUUCCAUAAAAUAUAAGGAUAUUUAGAAGAUGAAAGUAUUAAAGGACAUUACAAUUAUUUUAAUGGAUAUUGACAAUAUUGUCUUUAUAUACAGUGAAAAUUUAAGUUCUGACACCGUCCUGAUUUGGAAUGGAAAAGUCUUUUAAUUAUAGUGACUGUUGCUAUGUGCUCUAUGUGCAUGUUGUCAGCAGGUUACAGGAUGCUCAUGCAUUUCUCUUGCCAGUCAGAAAAACUCAUGUUGGUAUCAUGAGUCAAUCAACUGUGUUUGUCUCCAAACCUGUUUAUUCCAGCAUGACGUGUAAGUGUGACUACCUAACAUAAUAUUGAAAAACGUACAUAAAUUGUUGAAAUAUCCAUGCCAAAAUACAAAAUUGAGGCUACGAAAUCUAUGCAUGUUUGGACACACAUAAUAAAGGUGAGUUGUUAAGCAAAAAUGUUAUCAAAAUUAAAGUAAGACAACCUUGCAAGUUUAAAAAACUCAUAAAUAUAUGAAAGAAAGCUCUGCAUUCAAGUUGCUUAUCAAGAAUCUAAAUAUUAUUAUGCUCAGAAAAUCCCGAAAAUGGAAAUGCAGUACAGAAAGUGCAAACUGGGUACCAUUCAUGCAAGGGAAAAAAUAAGACCCUAAUCAGCAAGCCCAUAAUCAAAGAAAAUGCCUUGCCUUUAUUACAAGAUUGACAAGUAAAUAUACAAAUAACAGUGAUGUUAAUAUAUUUAGGAGACUAUGUCAUUUUUAAAGAUCUCCCUUUUUAACCAAUGUUCUCAGUGAACCAACUCUGGUUCCUAUAAUAUAGGGUGUGUAUGUGUGUGUGUGUGUGUGUGUGUGUGUGUGUAGCUAUGUGUGUGUUUCAGUGACAGACACUACUCUCUCCCACACAGAUAACAAAGAGUAAAAUAUUCUGCCAUUUGAGACAUAUUUCUUUCAGAUGAGUCACUAAUUUUGUGUGAAGCAUCCUUACAUAUUUUUAAAAUUCAGUAUAGGGAUGCCUGGGUGGCUCGGUGGUUAAGCGUGUCUGCUUUCAGCUCAGGGCUCAGGUCGUGAUCCCAGAGUCCCGGGAUCGAGUUCCACAUCGGGCUCUCUGCAUGGAGCCUGCUUCUCCCUCUGCCUACAUCUCUGUCCCUCUCUCUCAAUGUGUGUCUCUCAUGAAUACACAAAUAAAAUCUUAAAAAAAAAACACUCAGUAUAAAAUAUCAGUAACUCCCCAACACCUUCUGUAACCUUCAAAUACAUUGUGGCCUUUUGUUUAAUAUGCAUGUGGCUCAUUAUACACAUCCUACAAAAGCACAUUACUAUCUCCUAUGUUAGACUAUGAACUCUAUGUGAAAACAGGCUUUUGUUUCAUAGAAACUCCAAAACCUAGCACAAUGCCUGAGAAACAGAUGAAUGAAUAUAUCCUUGUUAAAUUCUCCCCCAAAUCAUAUGAUUUUUAAACAUGAACUAAGGCUUGAAAAAAGAACUUGUUCAGGAUCACAUAAUGAGGAUCUCAUUAUGAAAAUCACUUGUCUAAAUCCCAAAGCCAUGCUUUCUCCGCUAUAUUAAGAAGCAUUAUUUUAUUCUUUCUUGAAAUGCAGUCCUUUGGAAAGUAUGUAUUGUUCAUUAAAUCCUCUAGAGUAAAUUAGCUUGGCAGAUGCCCUUUUCUUGACCAGUAAGAUCAAAUCAGUAGAAACAUUUUAAGCUCACUAGAAAGAUGUUGAAGACAUGAAAAUAAUUUAAAAGAGUAUCAGGAGACAACAAAGAUUAAAUCUGUCUCCUUGCCUGAGGUUAAUGGUAUGCUUUAAUUAAUCUGAAAUUCCCAUUCCCAUAAGAAAAAUAAUGACAAUUACAGGAUUUGGGAGAAGCAAGAAGAGUUCCAAUAGCUCUUCACAUACCAGAAAGGAAUAUUUUUUCCAAAAUGUAAUAUUUAAAUCAUUCAAAGCAUUCACAUAAAAAUUAACACACAAGUUUAAGUAUGCCAAGGAUAAUCAUUGAAACAAAUACUGCAAAAUAAACAAGUCUGAACAAAAUAUAGCAUAUUUAAAACAAAUAUCUACUUUAUCUAAAAGUUUCUUUGUACUCUGAUAUCUGCCAAAAUUCCUGAUGGGUGGAAAUUCUCUUAAAAUUUUCCACUCUGAAUCAGAAUUUAAAGAAACUUUUCUUUACAAACACACACAUACACACACACACACAUGCAUAUAUAUACACACACUAUAUUUAGAACAGUUCUUAACUUUGAAAUUGGUUGAUAAAAGAAGGACAUUUCUUGUCAUCAAGUCAUAAUUUAUCUUUAGAACUAAGAAAUUCUAAAGAGAAAAAACUUUGUAAUUCUAUGAUUUAUAAUUCUUUAAAAAAUUGACUAUGGGAAAGAGAUUAUUUCAACUUUAAAUUUCUGGUAAUACCAGAUUGAUCUAAAUUAUUGGGUCCUAAAAUCAAUCAAUCAAUCAAUCAAUCCUAGCAUGAGGUAAUUCCUCAACAUGGAACACUCCAAAUUCAUAACUAUUUCUACAGGUAAUUUUUAGUUGAAUAUUACACCAGCAAUUCAAACAAGUUAUAGUAAGAAUUCAAUGUUUCAUGUUUCCUUCAGUCAUUUCUAUGCUGCUUAUUCCAUAAACACUACUACUAUUUCUUUCAUCUUUAUACAGAAAUUCUUGAGAAAAUUUUUUCAUAUAUAUUCUAAACACUACUUGGAAUAUGACUA
rnacentral:lncRNA from 1 species